UACAUUCACUACUGUAAAUCGCUCUGGAUAAGAGCGUCUGCUAAAUGACUAAAA
rfam:Salmo salar isolate Sally breed double haploid chromosome ssa15, whole genome shotgun sequence.